GGUCCAAUGUUCCCCAACUCCUCAUUUGAUCAAAAGUAUUCUUCACUCGCCUCAACGACGUCUCUUUAUUGACAUGUAUAAAAACAUAAACUUAACCAUUGCCUCGUUUCCGGAACCUCAACGGGAAAUUGUACAACAAGUGU
rnacentral:ribozyme from 1 species